UGGGGAAUAUUGCACAAUGGAGGGAACUCUGAUGCAGCGACGCCGCGUGAACGAAGAAGGCUUUCGAGUCGUAAAGUUCUUCUAUAUGGGAAGAUAAUGACGGUACUAUAAGAAAAAGCCCAGGCUAACUACGUGCCAGCAGCCGCGGUAAUACGUAGGGGGCUAGCGUUGUCCGGAAUCACUGGGCGUAAAGGGUUCGCAGACGGAAAUGCAAGUCAGGUGUAAAAGGCAGUAGCUUAACUACUGUAAGCAUUUGAAACUGCAUAUCUUGAGAAGAGUAGAGGUAAGCGGAAUUUUUAGUGUAGCGGUGAAAUGCGUAGAUAUUAAAAAGAAUACCGGUGGCGAAGGCGACUUACUGGGCUCAUUCUGACGCUGAGGAACGAAAGCGGGGGUAGCAAACAGG
rnacentral:rRNA from 1 species